rnacentral:lncRNA from 1 species
CACACAUCCUCUAAACCCAGCUUGUCAGACAGAAACUAAGCCAUGAGUUGUCCCCACUUUUGAUUCUGGGCUGUAGAAACUACCAGAAGAAAAUCAGGCUGGGCGCGGUGGCUCAUAACUAGGGCCAUUGUUCUGUUCAUAGAGAACCAGCCUCGGAGGGCCUGAUGUUUCCCCUGGUGGCCUCCCUCUCCCCUCUUCCUUCACCUGGCCAUGCAUUCAGACUCUGGGUCCAGGCCAUGGCGUGAGCAUCACCCUGUAAGGCAGCGGCGGGCACUGCGGUCCACAGACCCUACAAGUUCUCCACGAAAGAUAAAAAAUCAUUUUCUUCAGUUCGUGUGCUAUAUGUGAAAAACAUACAGGCCUUGUAAAAUGCUUUAGAACCUAGGUGAGCG